GAUAAGAACGUAGCGAAAUGCGAUAAGUAAUGUGAAUUGCAGAAUUCAGUGAAUCAUCGAAUCUUUGAACGCACAUUGCGCCCGCCAGUAUUCUGGCGGGCAUGCCUGUUCGAGCGUCAUUACAACCCUCAGGCCCCCGGGCCUGGCGUUGGGGAUCGGCGGAAGCCCCCUGCGGGCACAACGCCGUCCCCCAAAUACAGUGGCGGUCCCGCCGCAGCUUCCAUUGCGUAGUAGCUAACACCUCGCAACUGGAGAGCGGCGCGGCCACGCCGUAAAACACCCAACUUCUGAAUGUUGACCUCGAAUCAGGUAGGAAUACCCGCUGAACUUAAGCAUAUCAAUAAGCGGAGGA
rnacentral:misc_RNA from 1 species